rnacentral:rRNA from 1 species
UUAAGCGACUAAGCGUACACGGUGGAUGCCCUGGCAGUCAGAGGCGAUGAAGGACGUGCUAAUCUGCGAAAAGCGUCGGUAAGGUGAUAUGAACCGUUACAGCCGGCGAUGUCCGAAUGGGGAAACCCAGUGCAAUUCGUUGCACUAUCGUUAACUGAAUACAUAGGUUAACGAGGCGAACCGGGGGAACUGAAACAUCUAAGUACCCCGAGGAAAAGAAAUCAACCGAGAUUCCCCCAGUAGCGGCGAGCGAACGGGGAGCAGCCCAGAGUCUGAAUCAGCUUGUGUGUUAGUGGAACGGUCUGGAAAGUCCGACGGUACAGGGUGAUAGUCCCGUACACCAAAAUGCACAGGCUGUGAACUCGAAGAGUAGGGCGGGACACGUGGUAUCCUGUCUGAAUAUGGGGGGACCAUCCUCCAAGGCUAAAUACUCCUGACUGACCGAUAGUGAACCAGUACCGUGAGGGAAAGGCGAAAAGAACCCCGGCGAGGGGAGUGAAAAAGAACCUGAAACCGUGUACGUACAAGCAGUGGGAGCACCUUCGGGUGUGACUGCGUACCUUUUGUAUAAUGGGUCAGCGACUUAUAUUCUGUAGCAAGGUUAACCGUAUAGGGGAGCCGCAGGGAAACCGAGUCUUAACUGGGCGUUAAGUUGCAGGGUAUAGACCCGAAACCCGGUGAUCUAGCCAUGGGCAGGUUGAAGGUUGGGUAACACUAACUGGAGGACCGAACCGACUAAUGUUGAAAAAUUAGCGGAUGACUUGUGGCUGGGGGUGAAAGGCCAAUCAAACCGGGAGAUAGCUGGUUCUCCCCGAAAGCUAUUUAGGUAGCGCCUCGUGAACUCAUCUUCGGGGGUAGAGCACUGUUUCGGCUAGGGGGUCAUCCCGACUUACCAACCCGAUGCAAACUACGAAUACCGAAGAAUGUUAUCACGGGAGACACACGGCGGGUGCUAACGUCCGUCGUGAAGAGGGAAACAACCCAGACCGCCAGCUAAGGUCCCAAAGUCAUGGUUAAGUGGGAAACGAUGUGGGAAGGCACAGACAGCCAGGAUGUUGGCUUAGAAGCAGCCAUCAUUUAAAGAAAGCGUAAUAGCUCACUGGUCGAGUCGGCCUGCGCGGAAGAUGUAACGGGGCUAAACCAUGCACCGAAGCUGCGGCAGCGACACUAUGUGUUGUUGGGUAGGGGAGCGUUCUGUAAGCCUGCGAAGGUGUGCUGUGAGGCAUGCUGGAGGUAUCAGAAGUGCGAAUGCUGACAUAAGUAACGAUAAAGCGGGUGAAAAGCCCGCUCGCCGGAAGACCAAGGGUUCCUGUCCAACGUUAAUCGGGGCAGGGUGAGUCGACCCCUAAGGCGAGGCCGAAAGGCGUAGUCGAUGGGAAACAGGUUAAUAUUCCUGUACUUGGUGUUACUGCGAAGGGGGGACGGAGAAGGCUAUGUUAGCCGGGCGACGGUUGUCCCGGUUUAAGCAUGUAGGCUGAUUGUCCAGGCAAAUCCGGAUAAUCAAGGCUGAGGUGUGAUGACGAGGCACUACGGUGCUGAAGUAACAAAUGCCCUGCUUCCAGGAAAAGCCUCUAAGCAUCAGGUAACAUCAAAUCGUACCCCAAACCGACACAGGUGGUCAGGUAGAGAAUACCAAGGCGCUUGAGAGAACUCGGGUGAAGGAACUAGGCAAAAUGGUGCCGUAACUUCGGGAGAAGGCACGCUGGUGUAGGUGAAGUCCCUGCGGAUGGAGCUGAGACCAGUCGAAGAUACCAGCUGGCUGCAACUGUUUAUUAAAAACACAGCACUGUGCAAACACGAAAGUGGACGUAUACGGUGUGACGCCUGCCCGGUGCCGGAAGGUUAAUUGAUGGGGUUAUCCGUAAGGAGAAGCUCUUGAUCGAAGCCCCGGUAAACGGCGGCCGUAACUAUAACGGUCCUAAGGUAGCGAAAUUCCUUGUCGGGUAAGUUCCGACCUGCACGAAUGGCGUAAUGAUGGCCAGGCUGUCUCCACCCGAGACUCAGUGAAAUUGAACUCGCUGUGAAGAUGCAGUGUACCCGCGGCAAGACGGAAAGACCCCGUGAACCUUUACUAUAGCUUGACACUGAACAUUGAGCCUUGAUGUGUAGGAUAGGUGGGAGGCUUUGAAGCGUGGACGCCAGUCUGCGUGGAGCCAACCUUGAAAUACCACCCUUUAAUGUUUGAUGUUCUAACGUUGGCCCCUGACCGGGGUUGCGGACAGUGUCUGGUGGGUAGUUUGACUGGGGCGGUCUCCUCCCAAAGCGUAACGGAGGAGCACGAAGGUUAGCUAAUCCUGGUCGGACAUCAGGAGGUUAGUGCAAUGGCAUAAGCUAGCUUGACUGCGAGCGUGACGGCGCGAGCAGGUGCGAAAGCAGGUCAUAGUGAUCCGGUGGUUCUGAAUGGAAGGGCCAUCGCUCAACGGAUAAAAGGUACUCCGGGGAUAACAGGCUGAUACCGCCCAAGAGUUCAUAUCGACGGCGGUGUUUGGCACCUCGAUGUCGGCUCAUCACAUCCUGGGGCUGAAGUAGGUCCCAAGGGUAUGGCUGUUCGCCAUUUAAAGUGGUACGCGAGCUGGGUUUAGAACGUCGUGAGACAGUUCGGUCCCUAUCUGCCGUGGGCGCUGGAGAAUUGAGGGGGGCUGCUCCUAGUACGAGAGGACCGGAGUGGACGCAUCACUGGUGUUCGGGUUGUCAUGCCAAUGGCACUGCCCGGUAGCUAAAUGCGGAAGAGAUAAGUGCUGAAAGCAUCUAAGCACGAAACUUGCCCCGAGAUGAGUUCUCCCUGAGACUAUAAGUCUCCUGAAGGAACGUUGAAGACGACGACGUUGAUAGGCCGGGUGUGUAAGCGCAGCGAUGCGUUGAGCUAACCGGUACUAAUGAACCGUGAGGCUUAACCU